CAAGAGCGUAUGUAAAAGUUGUUGCAGUUAAAAAGCUCGUAGUUGAACCUUGGGUUUGGUUGGCCGGUCCGCUUUUUUGCGAGUACUGGAUUCAACCGAGCCUUUCCUUCUGGCUAACCAGUCGUUUCGGCGGCUGGCGAACCAGGAUUUUUACUUUGAGAAAAUUAGAGUGUUCAAAGCAGGCAUUAGCUUGAAUAUAUUAGCAUGGAAUAAUAGAAUAGGACGUUAUGGUUCUAUUUUGUUGGUUUCUAGGACCAUCGUAAUGAUUAAUAGGGACGGUCGGGGGCAUCAGUAUUCAGUUGUCAGAGGUGAAAUUCUUGGAUCUACUGAAGACUAACUACUGCGAAAGCAUUUGCCAAGGACGUUUUCAUUAA
rnacentral:rRNA from 1 species